AACUCUAGCCCUAAGACCCCCCCCCAAACAAAACUACUCUAAAGAACUCAAACAAAACAUUUAACUUCUAAAGUAUAGGAGAUAGAAAUUUUUUUCUUGGCGCUAUAGAAAAAGUACCGCAAGGGAAAGAUGAAAGAAUAAAUUAAUAGUAUAAAAUAGCAUAGAUUACCCCUAUUACCUUUUGCAUAAUGGGUUAACUAGAAAUAAAUUGACGAAGAGAACUUAGCCAAUUACCCCGAAACCAAACGAGCUACUUCCGAACAGCUAAUAGAGCGAACUCAUCUGUGUAGCAAAAUAGUGAGAAGAUUUGGAAGUAGAGGUGAAAAGCCAACCGAGUUUGGAGAUAGCUGGUUAUCCAAAUAAGAAUUUUAGUUCAACUGUAAGUUUUUCCUAAAACCCUUAGAAUUCUAAUGAAAACUUACAUGCUAAUUUAAAGAGGGACAGCUCUUUAAAAAAGGAAACAACCUUCAGCAGUGGAUAAGCUAAUUUAAAUGGACAUAGUUGGCCUAAAAGCAGCCAUCAAUUAAGAAAGCGUUCAAGCUCAACAACAAACUCCAUAACCUAAUCCCAAUAAAUUCUACAACUCCCUGCCCUAACAAUUGGAUCAAUCUAUAAAUUUAUAGAAGAGAUAAUGUUAAUAUUAGUAACAAGAACUUUUUCUCCUUGCACAAGCUCACAUCAAAUUAUAUUAAACAUUUGAUCAUUAACAAUCUAAUAAGGCAAAACAACCUAUUAGUUUACUUAUUACAGAUAUUGUUAACCCAACACAGGAGUGCAACAAGGAAAGACUAAAAGAAGCAAAAGGAACUCGGCAAA
rnacentral:rRNA from 1 species